CAGUAGCGGCGAGUGAAGCGGCAAGAGCUCAAAUUUGGAAACGCCCACCCGGGCGAGUUGUAAAUUGUAGACGCGGGAUUCAGUACUGCGGCGUGUCCAAGUCCCUUGGAACAGGGUGCCUGAGAGGGUGAGAGCCCCGUGGGAUGCGCUUAGCGGUGCGAUACGAGCCCGUGUCGACGAGUCGAGUUGUUUGGGAAUGCAGCUCUAAGUGGGUGGUAAAUUCCAUCUAAGGCUAAAUAUUGGCGAGAGACCGAUAGCGAACAAGUACUGUGAAGGAAAGAUGAAAAGCACUUUGAAAAGAGAGUGAAACAGCACGUGAAAUUGUUGAAAGGGAAGGGUAUUGGGCCCGACAUGGGGAGUGCGCACCGUUGCCUCUUGUAGGCGGCGCUCUGCGGUCUCUCUGGGCCAGCAUCAGCUUUCGCAGCAGGAGAAGGGCAUUACGAACGUGGCUCUUCGGAGUGUUAUAGCGUGGUGCUUGAUGCUGCUUGUGGGGGCUGAGGACGGCGACGCAAGUCACGGA
rnacentral:rRNA from 2 species